rnacentral:piRNA from 1 species
UUGCGUUUGGCCUCAGAGCCCCACUGUGUC